AAUUACUUACACCCAUUAUGAUGGGUAUGAUAGGGAAGAAGGCUAAAAUGUUCUAUUUCGAGACAAUGGCGUUCAUUUUUAUUCAAUUAAGAAGAAAGCAUUAUUGGAACAAUUCCAAAGAAGUACAAUUACCUGGAUAGAUGACGAGUGUGAUGUGUGACUGGCGACAUUUGCUAUAAUUUCUGGGGCAAGCUGUUGAGGCAUGGCUGUAAAAAAGGGUUAUCUUAUCAUUGUAGUCUUUCUCACUGAAAUUAUCGUGGCAGAAAAAUUGUUGCAACAAUAUUUUUGCUUUCUGACAACAACUGAGUCAUCAUCGUUAUCCAUCCCCCCCACCCCACUAUUCAACGACCUGUUCCCUAACGCCAUCAACAUCAUCAUCAUCAACUGCAAAAUAUCAACAGCCUUUUGCUGCAGCGCAACAUAAUGUCAUCGUGGUGCCCUUCAGGAUUAAUCGCUUAUUCAGCAAUCGUUUUACUUUGUACUUCCGACGCAACAAAUAUUUAGAAACCAUGGGUGUGUGUGCAACUUACACACUUGAAAAUUCCAUUUACAUAUGAGCUGGAACAUUUACCAUGAAUUUCACUGUGAAUUGUACAUGGAUGUGCAAUGCAAAAAUAAUGCAAGGUGCUCGCCCCUUCUCUCAUCUUGUCUUGGGAAGUUGAAGAGGGAAAAAAGCCCGAAAUUUCAAGUGUAUUACUUUUAACAAAAAUUCCAAAUAGAAUUCAAUCGAAACAAAUUUUGUAAUGCAAUACCAAAUUUCCAUGCUGAUGCUUUGUACUUCUUGGAUCGAAUGCCUGUACGACGACUACUGUGUGCAUCUAAUGGCAUGUCUCUGCAUGUGUAAUGGGGUGAUGGUCCUACAAAAAUAUCCAUAAAACGAAAAACUCACACAAAUUUAACAAGAAUUCAGAACGUAACAACUUUUGCUGCAAUGCACACAGGUCACAUUCGAGAAAAACUUAAAAUUGACGAGAGAGAGAGAGAGAGAGGAAAAAAAACAGAAAUUGAAAAACGAAAACUAACAGAGAAACAAAAACAUUGUUUUAAGGCAACUUUGAAGUGAAACUAAAGACAAUAUGUCAAGUGGUAUGAUUUUAACUUUAAAUUUUGAAGUACACUCAAGAACUCAAUGGUCUUCAAUGUAAGCCAAAAUGUAUUUUUUGCAUACUCGAUUGAU
rnacentral:sRNA from 1 species